rnacentral:rRNA from 1 species
GACGAACGCUGGCGGCGUGCCUAAUACAUGCAAGUCGAACGAAGCUGUUUUAACUGGUGCUUGCACCGACUUAAACAACUGAGUGGCGAACGGGUGAGUAACACGUGGGUAACCUGCCCCUAAGCGGGGGAUAACAUUUGGAAACAGAUGCUAAUACCGCAUAACCACAGAAACCACAUGGUUUCUGUGUCAAAGAUGGUUUCGGCUAUCACUUUGGGAUGGACCCGCGGCGUAUUAGCUAGUUGGUAAGGUAAUGGCUUACCAAGGCAAUGAUACGUAGCCGAACUGAGAGGUUGAUCGGCCACAUUGGGACUGAGACACGGCCCAAACUCCUACGGGAGGCAGCAGUAGGGAAUCUUCCACAAUGGACGAAAGUCUGAUGGAGCAACGCCGCGUGAGUGAAGAAGGUUUUCGGAUCGUAAAACUCUGUUGUCAGAGAAGAAUGUGUGCGAGAGUAACUGUUCGUGCAGUGACGGUAUCUGGCCAGAAAGCCACGGCUAACUACGUGCCAGCAGCCGCAGUAA